CUUUUACAAUGAAGAGUUUGAUCCUGGCUCAGGAUGAACGCUAGCUACAGGCUUAACACAUGCAAGUCGAGGGGCAGCAUCAUCAAAGCUUGCUUUGAUGGAUGGCGACCGGCGCACGGGUGAGUAACACGUAUCCAACCUGCCGACAACACUGGGAUAGCCUUUCGAAAGAAAGAUUAAUACCGGAUGGCAUAGUUUUCCCGCAUGGGAUAAUUAUUAAAGAAUUUCGGUUGUCGAUGGGGAUGCGUUCCAUUAGGCAGUUGGCGGGGUAACGGCCCACCAAACCAACGAUGGAUAGGGGUUCUGAGAGGAAGGUCCC
rnacentral:rRNA from 1 species